AUGGCAUGAUGGGGACAUUUUCUGAUGAGGUCCUUUAAUCUUUCACAUGCCUCAUGGAACUGUUCACUAUGGUGCUGUGAAAAGCUAGUGAGAACUCCCCUUAUCU
rnacentral:snoRNA from 1 species